UACAGAGGGUGCGAGCGUUAAUCGGAAUUACUGGGCGUAAAGCGCGCGUAGGCGGCUUUGCAAGUCGGGUGUGAAAUCCCCAGGCUUAACCUGGGAACUGCACUCGAGACUGCAUCGCUAGAGUAUGGGAGAGGGAAGUGGAAUUUCAGGUGUAGCGGUGAAAUGCGUAGAUAUCUGAAGGAACAUCAGUGGCGAAAGCGACUCCUGGACCAAUACUGACGCUCAUGUGCGAAAAGCGUGGGGAGCAAACAGG
rnacentral:rRNA from 1 species